rnacentral:rRNA from 1 species
UACGUAGGGUCCGAGCGUUGUCCGGAUUUAUUGGGCGUAAAGAGCGUGUAGGCGGCCAGGUAGGUCUGCUGUGAAAACUCGAGGCUCAACCUCGAGAUGUCGGCGGAAACCAUCUGGCUAGAGUCCGGAAGAGGAAAGUGGAAUUCCUGGUGUAGCGGUGAAAUGCGCAGAUAUCAGGAAGAACACCCGUGGCGAAGGCGGCUUUCUGGGACGGUACUGACGCUGAGACGCGAAAGCGUGGGGAGCGAACAGG